UGGGGAAUAUUGGACAAUGGGCGAAAGCCUGAUCCAGCAACGCCGCGUGAGGGAUGACUGCCUUCGGGUUGUAAACCUCUUUCAGCGGGGACGAAGCGAAAGUGACGGUACCCGCAGAAGAAGCACCGGCCAACUACGUGCCAGCAGCCGCGGUAAUACGUAGGGUGCGAGCGUUGUCCGGAAUUAUUGGGCGUAAAGGGCUCGUAGGCGGUUUGUCACGUCGGGAGUGAAAACUCAGGGCUCAACCCUGAGCCUGCUUCCGAUACGGGCAGACUAGAGGUAUGCAGGGGAGAACGGAAUUCCUGGUGUAGCGGUGAAAUGCGCAGAUAUCAGGAGGAACACCGGUGGCGAAGGCGGUUCUCUGGGCAUUACCUGACGCUGAGGAGCGAAAGUGUGGGGAGCGAACAGGAUUAGAUACCCCCGUAGUCC
rnacentral:rRNA from 1 species